UCGAACGAGAAACGGUCUAGCUUGCUAGAUGCAGUCUAAGUGGCGCACGGGUGAGUAAUGUAUAGCUAAUGNGCCCCUUGGAGGGGGAUAACAGUUGGAAACGGCUGCUAAUACCCCAUACUCCUUCAUUCUUAAUGAGUGAAGGGAAAGUUUUUUCGCCAAGGGAUCAGGCUAUAUGGUAUCAGCUAGUUGGUGAGGUAACGGCUCACCAAGGCAAUGACGCCUAACUGGUCUGAGAGGAUGAUCAGUCACACUGGAACUGAGACACGGUCCAGACUCCUACGGGAGGCAGCAGUGGGGAAUAUUGCACAAUGGAGGAAACUCUGAUGCAGCAACGCCGCGUGGAGGAUGACGCAUUUCGGUGUGUAAACUCCUUUUAUAUAGGAAGAUAAUGACGGUACUAUAUGAAUAAGCACCGGCUAACUCCGUGCCAGCA
rnacentral:rRNA from 1 species